AGCUCCAAUAGCGUAUAUUAAAGUUGUUGUGGUUAAAAAGCUCGUAGUUGGAUUUCGGCGGGUAGUGGUUGGUUUGAAUUGCUUCAACACUGACUUUUUUCCCCUUGGUUUUUGCCCGAAUCUUACGGGUGGUCUUUAACGGUUGUCCGUUGGAACUGGCAGGUUUACUUUGAAAAAAUUAGAGUGCUCAAAGCAAGCUUACUGCUUGAAUAGUUGCGCAAGGAAGAAUAGAAUAGGAAGUCGUUUCUAUUUUGUUGGUUUUCGGAAAUCGACGUAAUGAUUAAUAGGGAUAGUCGGGGGCAUUCGUAUUCAAACGACAGAGGUGAAAUUCUUGGACCGUUUGAAGACGAACUAAGGCGAAAGCAUUUGCCAAGAAUGUUUUCA
rnacentral:rRNA from 1 species